UGGGGAAUAUUGCACAAUGGGCGCAAGCCUGAUGCAGCGACGCCGCGUGAGGGAUGACGGCCUUCGGGUUGUAAACCUCUGUUAGCAGGGAAGAAGAGAGAUCGACGGUACCUGCAGAGAAAGCGCCGGCUAACUACGUGCCAGCAGCCGCGGUAAUACGUAGGGCGCGAGCGUUGUCCGGAAUUAUUGGGCGUAAAGAGCUCGUAGGCGGUUUGUCGCGUCUGCUGUGAAAGGCCGGGGCUUAACCCCGUGUAUUGCAGUGGGUACGGGCAGACUAGAGUGCAGUAGGGGAGACUGGAAUUCCUGGUGUAGCGGUGGAAUGCGCAGAUAUCAGGAGGAACACCGAUGGCGAGGGCAGGUCUCUGGGCUGUAACUGACGCUGAGAAGCGAAAGCAUGGGGAGCGAACAG
rnacentral:rRNA from 1 species